UGUCCCCCCCCCACCCCCCGUGUUUAUUUUACGUCCGCCUUCCCUAUGACAACUAGUAAUUUUCUACUCGGGCUUGUUUUCACCUAAAUUAUAAAUCACGUCCAAAAGAGGAAAUACUUCUGGGUGAAGUAAUUGUUUCCUUGGACGAAGGUCAUUAUUGACUGUUUUCAAAGACAGAGAACGCUUUCGCAGGCACGUGCUCGACGUCAUUCACAAUAAUAUAGCUAAUAUAAGAUAAUUUGAAUAUUUUUUGUUUUGUUUCAACUAAUAAAAAUGGGGGAAUAAAGAAACAAACCUGAUCUACCAAGUGUGUGUGUCUGCAGAAGCUGGUUAUGAAGUUAUAUGAGGCAAGAGACAGUUACAGUAGGUAAAAAUAGUUAUGUAAGGUGUGAAAGUGGUUAAUACCCAAAACCCUAUAGAAAAAGAUAUAAGAUCUAACUGAACAAAAGGCAGUCUCGAAUAGUCGUGAACUGUAAAAUAUAUGUGUAUAUACAAAGGUAGUAGAUGUGUACAACUGUAUAAUUUUUAUUAUGAUCUGUACAAGAAAGUUAUAUAAUUUUAUCAUUAAACUGUUCAUAUGUUUUUUUUUUUCGUUGCCGAACCUACGAUAUUUAAGAUAUUUUUUUGAAUAAUUCUGACUGUAUAUUAUUCUGAAGUAAACGUUUUUGUACUAUGCAUAUUGCAUAAGUUUAAAAUUUUACAAUGAUCAGGUAAACGAGCCCCUAAGUGGUUCAGCGGUAAGUCUGAAGACUUGUAACGCUUAAAUCCGGGUGUCGAUACCCGUUAUAUAGGUAUCACUGAUAGACGUUUGUGUAGAUUUGUGUUUAACAACAAACAGGUAAACGAAUUUCUAAAUUUAUGAUUUUUUUACAGUAAAAGGUUUUAAUAUGUCGGUCUUUCAAUAAUUUGUCAGUGUUCGGUAGAAUUUAAAAUUACAAUUUUUUAGAUAAUUUGAAAAUAUACAGUUUUAUCAAAUAUUUAUUGAUUUUGUUGAAAUGGUACAAGAUUAAUUAAAAACCACCGACCAUGUGCUUAUAAUUUCAGAUAAUCGUUAUUUUAUGUGUUGUAAGCUAAUCUAAAGUUUUCACUUAUUUUUUACCCUUCCAUUUCCAGUAUCAUUAAAUUGCCAUUAGUGGAAUAUGUGACGUCAUCGUGUGAAUUAUGAGCUAUCACAAGCUGUGAAAUAUCUUCAACAUCGACAUCAGAUUUAUUUGAAGAGGUUUAUUCAGUAGGUUAGUCGAGUGACAAGGAGAUUCUUACCAGCAGAAGGGAGAGGUAAUGGACUUAAUGUUGAACAAGAAAUUGGUGUUGAACAGAUAGUGUACAAAUACGAAAGUGUGUCGGAAGUUCGACGCCAAUACGAAGCUUGUUGGAAGGAGACUCUACUACGUCCAAAAACAAUCAAAGUACUGAAAAAAGAAAUAUGAAGAAACUAUUUCGGUACAUCAUGUAUCUAGAAAUGUCUUCCAUGUAAAGUUAACGUCGAACAAACGAGUAACUUUUGAAAAUGAGCUGGUUUAAAGUUCGCAGGAAUCCAGUCGACAUUUGUCAGCAGAGCAUUUAAAGGAAUAUCUCUAGAAAUGACUACUUCUUGCAGAUCGGUUAUAACUUAGUAUGAAAUAUGCAUGAAUGCCGAAGGCGGGCAUUUUGAGCAUAUUAAGACAUAAGACCGUAGUUUACUAGGUAAUUUUUUGGACAAUGUUUUAGAAAUCCGUAUUUAAUAAACUUUCAACAUUUUCAACCGCACUUUUAAUUUACAAUAGAAAGAAAAGGGACUAGAAAAUCGUGAAAUUUCUAGUAAAAUUAGCAAAUAACGGGUUUUUUUUUAAAUAAAACUAUUGCAACCGUGAAGGGCAACUUUGUUGUUUCUGUUUUUUUUUAACUACUUUUAUUUGAAAAGUUUUAGUACAGCUUUAACAAUUUAUUUUAAGAUGUGUGGUAAAAUGUUAUGGGUUACUUGUUUAAACUUCAUAAAACAAUAACGAUAUUAUAAACAUGUUGUGCAGGAGAGGUAGAAACUUCGCUACUCAACUACUGAAAAAAAAUCACAUUUUAUUACUUUAUUAUUAAACUGUUUUCUGCAACUAGCACAAAACACCCGCUUCGGAGUUUAAAGGCCCCUCAUGAUUCACAGAGGUCUCAGAAUACAUAUCAAGGCUCUUCGUUGUGCCUAAUUACUUCUUUGCUACCCCAAGGUCCGUGCCCGAAAAAAAAAAAAACCGUUGGGACAGCCGCUCAUGGUACCCGAACACGUGUACUUGUUUGGUCCUUCUAGCCUAUGAGAGAAGAUAUGAAUACAAUUUCAAACAUGGCAUCCCUGGAUCCCGAGGAGCGUUAAGAAACACAAAAUACAAUGCCAAAUUCGGAUUCAAUGAUCUGAAAACCCACAUCAUUUCUGUAAGACCUUCUGGGUACGUUUUAUCCUCUUUAGGCCCCUUGGUGGGUGGAUACGUCAUAUAGAUAAAAACACCCCGGGCCUCGUUGAGUCAGCAUAGCAACUUAGGUUCUGUUAGCUCCAAAACUGUGGGAUGAGUUCGCCGAUAAACAAACACACAACUUGGAUUAAAACUAUACGACAAAUGUGCUUUAUCUAUCACCAGAUACAUGUUUUUACGACACGGCAUUAAAUAAGUAUUUGGGUUAUUGGUAAAUUAUUUGUUCAUUAAUGUCUGCCAGAUACGAAUAUUUUUUUCUGAUUGCUUCAAAAUAUGUAUACUUUUAGCAUACAUAUGUGUAUAUAUUGUUCUUCAGUAGCUGCUGACGAUUGCAUUUUGUAAUUUUUUUUUUGUGCCUUUUUUACAAGGAAAAUAUUUGUAUUUCUUCUAACUCACAAAUACAAAACAUGGUUUAAUCUUUUCAAUCACUCAACUUGAUAAUAAGAACUUAUUUUAAUCUAAUUCUACUUAAUAUCUGAUUCGACAAAUAGGUUAAUUGAAGUUGUAAUAAAAACCAAAAUUUAUCAGCGGCUUUUAUACUGUGUAAUGACGUGGAUCUUAAACUAUUCGAAUCCUAAAAGCGGCGUUGUUUUUUUUUAGCAACAUGUUGAUAAUAAAGGUAAUUGAAUAGGACGAUUCGUAAAAGUGAUUAGAUAUUUUGUGGUCACGAUCAAUACGUUUGUCUAACGUGAGAUUGAACACCGUAUCAUAAUCCCGAGGAGCGGGGACAUAACUACAACAUAUGCUCCCUUUCCCCCGCCCCUCGCCUUAACAUGGAGAGAGCAGCUCAUUUCUUCCUCUCCUUAACUUACUAUCCAAUAACCAUCCAUCUUCUACUUGUCCAGGAACAGGCAUUUUGUUAACCACUGUACAACAAAAAACAACGUGGGAGAGGGGGGAUUCUUGCAUUCCUUCUGAACAAGAAAGCUGAGUACCCGCCAAAACCUGUCUUAUCUUUAUGUUUAUCUACAUCUUGCAAUGGCAUAGCGGUUUGAGUAACGGUGACAAUGUCGGUAAAUAACCUUGGUCGUGCAUUUAAUAAUAACAGGAAGGUAGACGUACAAUACUGAUGAACAACGAGUUUUAGUGUGUUAAAAUGUUUGCAUAAUGUGUAUCAGAGAUAAUAAUGUAUGUGUUACGAUUAAAGUAUAAAAUACGUGAUGAA